GCCCCCGUAGCUCAGAGGAUAGAGCACUGGCCUCCGGAGCCAGGUGCGUGCGUUCGAGUCGCACCGGGGGUA
rnacentral:tRNA from 1 species